AAUCUUGCAAAUACAAUUAAUUAAAUCUCGCUCCUAUCCUUGCGGUGACACAUGGCUUGCUACUCGGCCUUGGCUCCCAAUAUACUACACUCUGCAGGAAUUACAUAUAAAAACAAUAUUUCAGAGAACUAAGAAUGAAACUCUAAAUUCCGAUUAAACUAAUCAUUUUUGACUAUACAUGAUAAUAGCAUGACAAACUGAAGCUCAUACAUCUUACAUGUGAAAAUAACAGCAUUAGCUACCAUCAUGCUGCUCCAUUUCCUUGCACACCACCAUCGUACGUGAUAAUAGGAUCAUCCAUCUGCUAGAUUAUUUUUUGGAGAAUCUAAAAGCUAUCCAAUAACCUCCAUUGAUUCUUUUAGCAUUACGAUCUAGUCCACCUUGCACACCACCAUCAUGGUCCAAAGAGUGAAACUGAAACAUAUGGUCUAGUUUCAUGUGAACCUAAACUACUAUGAUGGAACAAUGAACACAAAGGAAACGUCAAAUAGAAUUAUUUUUUAAAUAUUUUUCUGAUGAAUGAUCCGAGUGAUAAGAGACCCAAAGCAACAUAAACACACCACUAUUAUCCUUCUGAGAUAUGG
rnacentral:lncRNA from 1 species